rnacentral:rRNA from 1 species
GAGUUUGAUCCUGGCUCAGAUUGAACGCUGGCGGCAUGCCUUACACAUGCAAGUCGAACGGCAGCGCGGACUUCGGUCUGGCGGCGAGUGGCGAACGGGUGAGUAAUACAUCGGAACGUACCCUGUUGUGGGGGAUAACUAGUCGAAAGAUUAGCUAAUACCGCAUACGACCUGAGGGUGAAAGCGGGGGACCGCAAGGCCUCGCGCAGCAGGAGCGGCCGAUGUCUGAUUAGCUAGUUGGUGGGGUAAAGGCCCACCAAGGCGACGAUCAGUAGCUGGUCUGAGAGGACGAUCAGCCACACUGGGACUGAGACACGGCCCAGACUCCUACGGGAGGCAGCAGUGGGGAAUUUUGGACAAUGGGGGCAACCCUGAUCCAGCAAUGCCGCGUGUGUGAAGAAGGCCUUCGGGUUGUAAAGCACUUUUGUCCGGAAAGAAAACGCUCUGGUUAAUACCUGGGGUGGAUGACGGUACCGGAAGAAUAAGCACCGGCUAACUACGUGCCAGCAGCCGCGGUAAUACGUAGGGUGCGAGCGUUAAUCGGAAUUACUGGGCGUAAAGCGUGCGCAGGCGGUUUUGUAAGACAGGCGUGAAAUCCCCGAGCUCAACUUGGGAAUUGCGCUUGUGACUGCAAGGCUAGAGUAUGUCAGAGGGGGGUAGAAUUCCACGUGUAGCAGUGAAAUGCGUAGAGAUGUGGAGGAAUACCGAU